AAGCAAAAGCAGGUCUGCCUCAACUGCCUGUCUCCACCUGCUAUUCCUUCCACAGCCGGGUCCACUCCGCCUCCUCGUGGUCCAUAAUCCCUCUCACACUGGGUUCUGUCUCUGCGGCCUCCCCCACAGGGCUGCAUCCACAGCGCCGCCGUGAACGAAGGCUCUUCAUUGGUUCUGCGUGAUUCCUCAUGGGUGUGUACCAUGUGUGGAAAUGCACCCCACAUUCACUGAAGGCCAGCUUUUUCUCCUGUGACCACUUCUGUUCUUCCUGGGCCAGUAGCUCUAAAGGCAGCUAUGCAAGCAACGGCUAGGACCUGGCUGCACUCAGGAGGAGACUUGAUUUUUCAUCCAGAACCACCACUCCCACCAACUCCACUCCCAGGCCAUGUGGUUCAGGUGGUUUGGUCCCCACUCUUGACCCAGCAGUCGGCCUGUGAGCCAAGUUUGAUCAAACAUCCUGUGAUCCUGUAUUCACUAUGAUUGACUAGAGGGAAUCUGCUUGUCACUAGGAUAGAAAAUCAGGAAAACAUUCAGAGAGUCACAAAUGUCAACGUACUCAUUGCUGGAUUUACCAACAGGCAGACUGGGUUAAGUAUAACUUGGUUACAUUGCUACUAUGAAUCUCUGCAGACUUAUUUUUUAAAUGCUAUUAUUUCAAACAUCUAAAAAGGACCUCAACUCCACCACUAAGUAGCUGUGUGACCUUAGGCAAUGUUGAGAUCUUUAAGCCCCAGUAGUCGUCUGUUACAAGAUAAUGGUGAUAGUGGUUUAGUCACUUAAGUCAUGUUUGAGUCUUGUGACUUGAUGGACUGUAGCUAAGAUAAUAAAAGAAAAUAUUUUAUAAGGAUCAUUCUGAGAAUAGUGAAGUAAUUUAUGUAAAGUAUCUUUACAUACUAAGCACCAAACAAAUACUGGCUAAGAUGAAUUAUUAUUAUUAUAGUAAAGUUACUAGGGCAGGUCUAGACAAAAAUAAAAACUGUGGAGCCCAAUUUCCACAUUAAGCCUUCCAAGUUCAUCUUUCUGAGGAUCUAUCUCCUGCACUGACAAUGAAGAAAUAACUUGAACUUGGACGUAAAGCCUGGAUCUAGUGUCCAUAUUGCUUCUUUCCAACUGUACAAGCCCCUGAUGAGUUAGGUCUCCCAGCCUGGGUUUCUUCAUUUUCAGAGAUGAGGUUAUCCAUCUGAUGGGUCUGUGGUAGAGACCGAAUAUAGAUUCUCUCUAUCGUGCCUGAGAGGUGCCCAGUGACUCCUGACCCACGGCUCAGCUGCAGUAGCUUGGGUGCACAAUGGUUCUGCCUUACCUGGAGGCUAGUUGAAUAGAGACUGGACCAGCAGGAGGAGCUGCAGAAAAGUGUGCAGCAGGCGCACCAGGGAAGCCCCCGGACUUCCUGUUCACUUGGCAGGCUCUGCUGUUUCCAGCCCACCCCCCGCAGCUACUAAGACCCUCCAGUCUUUGCGGACCCUACAUUGGACUCGAGGGUGAUUGGCUCAGUUGUGUCACCCAUGGACUGACAAGGUUCAUGUGGCUGAUGGACCGACCUGGCUGACAAGGUAAGUGUCCUCCUCCUACUUCCUUUUUCAUUUUGAAGAUAAAUAAUAACAUGUGACCAUGCUUGUAACAAUGCUUGCAAGUAUUAAUAAGUAACAAGCAAUAGUUUCUCAUUAUACUUGAGGAGUAAUGGAGUAAUAGGGGCAGUAGUCCUCCUUUAAAUCACUCCUCCAUGUAAGAGGAAGACUGAUUUUGGAGACCAGAGCAGAAAGUCUAACAUUAAAAGCAGUGAGUGUAG
ensembl:lncRNA